rnacentral:rRNA from 1 species
UACGUAGGCAGCGAGCGUUGUUCGGAGUUACUGGGCGUAAAGAGUGCGUAGGCGGCGUUCCAAGUUUGGUGUGAAAUCUCCCGGCUUAACUGGGAGGGUGCGCCGAAAACUGGGAUGCUAGAGUGCGGGAGAGGUAAGCGGAAUUCCUGGUGUAGCGGUGAAAUGCGUAGAUAUCAGGAGGAACACCGGCGGCGCAGGCAGCGUCCUGGCCGCUUGCUGACACUGAGGCACGAAAGCUGGGGGAGCAAACAGG